UUAAUAAUAGUAAAGAGACAGUAGAAUUUUAAUAAAAAAGAAAACAUUUAUUAUAUUUGUCGGAAAAUUUGUCGACCGUUUUUCUGACAAAGCGUCUCCGUUCGUCGCACAGAAUGCGUGUAUUUGCAGGUGAACGCUGUUAUAGACUUCAUCGAAUUAUGUUUCUGGCUACGGAAUUCUGGCCGUAUCAAAAACCAUUUAUUCGUUGACUGCAAGCAGUUUUCUAUUUCAGUGCAUAUUGCUGCAUAUAUUUUCAAAGGUGACUUAAUUUUUAUGCACAUUAUGUUUAUUAUUAUAUACAUUUUUUUAUAUAAUGUUUAUUGAAUGUCUUAUUACAAUGAAACAAUAUAAAUAUAUUAUUAUUAUUAGUAGUAGAUUAUUAUUUCUGUCUUUGUAUUGUUUGUAGUUUGCGGCCUUUUUUACGUCAACAUGUAACAUGGAUUGUAUUCUAAAAAGAUUUAGUUAUAUCUGUGUAACUUUUGUUUUUGUUUUGUGUUACUGUUCUUUCUAUUUCAAUUCUGAAUUUGUGAGUAUUAUUUGCGUUUUUUGUGUGUUAUAUAAAAUUUUCAAAAGUUCUAAUCCUGCUGUACUAUGUAUAUAUUUGUGAUAUAUAUGUUUGAGAAAAGCUAAAGCAAGCGUUGAAACAUAUGCAGUUGGAUUGGAAAAUGUUUGAAAAUAGUGACACAAUUAAAAUAUUUGAAGAGUAUCUCUUCCUAUCUUAUAUUUUCGCAUUAUUUGUGAUUAGUAAGUGAAUCAAAAAUAAAAUUAUACUUUUUGUAUUAUAUUAACUAGAGCUGCAUUGUAAUUUCAAUUUACGUGUUUUUUCUAGUGAUGGUUCCUACAUGUUUAUCCGUACUUAUGGCUCUUAAAUGUAAACCUGUCAUUCUUGAUGCUAUUAUGCCGAUGAAUGUAUCCCGACCACGUAAACUUGAAGUCGAGUCUGAAUAUUUUCUUGAUAAACAGGAAUAUUUCUAUUUUUAUCUUAUGGAAGAAUUAGUAGGAUUGGGGAUUGGCUUUUACUCGGCACUGGUAAUUGCAACAUUUUGCAUUACUCUUGUGAGACACUGCUGCGCAACAUUAAAAAUUGCAAGGUGAGCAUAUGUAAUAUCUUUAUUAACAAUGGAGCUACGGUCGACUAUUUCCACAGACUUCUAUAAUACACUAGACUGCUAGAUCGCAUGUUUUCAACUUAGGUAAAUGGGCACAAAAUCUAUAUACUUCUAUGUACAAAUGAACGUAUUGAGCACGCGGGUUCUAUUGGUUGCUUCGACGAUAGUGAAGUUUCGUCCAGUGAUUGCUUAUAGAGGGUGUCUCAUAACUCCUUACCGCCCCGUUAAUGGCGUAUAGUUUGGACUUAGCUGAGUCGAAAAGUCCUAUACCAUUUUGCGAUUUUCGCAAUAAUAACUGAGUUAUUAAACGAUUGAAGUAACCGAAUGAGAGCGCGGCUCGUACAACGAGCCGUCGGUAAGAAGACCGCGCGCUUGUGGUUGGUUACGAUGCAGUGAGGCAGCGGUGCCAGAAAACGUGCUUUGUAGCAUGCGGUGGGGAUGGAGUGGGAAUGGUUUAGCGAAUCGUCGCACGCUUGAGGUCCUCACCCUCUCCACUCACAUCAGCGAUGUCAGAAAGCGUGUGACGAUUAGUUCAACUUAACGAUAUCUACCUGCAGGAGAGCGAUUGGACAUCUUACGCGAGACACUUUGUAUAGAUACAUAUACUAUACACACAAAUAAUAUAUUACACAAAUAUAUUUAACAGCUAACUCAUUUAGCUGUUGCUAUAGUUAUAUAAACAUGACCAUCUCACUAUUCCACAAUACAUCAACCUUCCCUCUCCAUGACAGCUUAAGUACAUAAAUUUUUCGGUCAGCUUAUAUAGUGAGCUAGCAGUCUAAUGUAUUAUAGAAGACUGUGACUAUUUCAUAUAAAUCGCUUUCAGUUGUAUAAUACAGAAUACGGCGAUUGUCCACACGCUGCAAAUUCCUGUUACUCAAGAGAUACAAUUUAUGCAUCGAAGCAUUUGUUUUUCUGUUUAUCUCCACCGCAGAACUUUAAAUCAGAAAGUUAUAGUUUUGAAACUUAUUAGACGUAAAGUUACUAAUCAUAUAUUGUGGUACAUUAAAGGUUAAUGAAAGACUUCAUGCAUUCGAUUGAUGUGUGGUAUAGUCCAUUAAUUUUAAUGUGCGUACUGGCUUUAAGUUGCGUCCUACUUCGCGUAAGUAAUACCUAUUAAUAUAAUAGAAUAUUUUACUUACUUCACAUUUGUUUUAAUGUGCCUUGGAUUAGAAUUGCGAACAAUCAUGAAAACUGUUAUGUAAGAAUGUGAUUUGUAUUAAAAUAUAUUAAUAAAUGGAUACACAAAGUAUAAAUACAAUUGAACCCAAAAA